UGGCCGCGAUAUUUUGAUCGUGCAUAGGUAGUGGAUAUUAGUUUUCUUAAUUAGGAACUGGUAUGAAAGGUUAAAUGAGAAAAUUUCUGUCUCAAUUUAAAUUUAAUUAGAACUUUAUUUUUAAGUUAAAAAGCUUAAAUAGAUUUAAAAGACGAGAAGACCCUAUAGAGUUUUAUACUUAUGUUAAAUUUUUUACUUUUAGAAUUUAAAUUUAAAAUUUAUUUAUAAGUAUUUGAUUGGGGUGAUUUAAAAAUUUAAUAAACUUUUUAUAUAAAUUUAACAUAAAUUAAUGAUUGAUUGAUCCAUAAUUAAUGAUUAAAAGAAAAAAUUACCUUAGGGAUAACAGCGUAAUUUUUUUUGAGAGUUCUUAUCGAAAAAAAAGUUUGCGACCUCGAUGUUGAGAUUAAAAAAGAUUUACGACCUCGAUGUUGGAUUAAAACC
rnacentral:rRNA from 1 species